AUCUGGGAGGCCACAAACCAUGGAAGCUGUACGCAUGGCGUAGUGGACUAGCGGUUAGAGGAGACCCCUCCCUUGCAAGUCGCAGCAACAAUGGGGGCCCAAGGUGGGAUGAAGCUGUAAUCUCACUGGAAGGACUAGAGGUUAGAGGAGACCCCCCCGAAAUAAAAAACAGCAUAUUGACGCUGGGAA
rnacentral:lncRNA from 1 species